UCCCUGGCAGUUCAGUGGCUAGAAUUCCACUCUUCCAAUGUGGGGUCACAGGUUCGAUCCCCGGUCAGGGAA
rnacentral:tRNA from 1 species